rnacentral:tRNA from 1 species
GCUCUAUAUUAUAAAAAUAAUAUUAAAUUGCAAGUUUAAAGAUGUGUGAAUCACUAGAGUU